rnacentral:misc_RNA from 1 species
UCAGAUGUGAACUCUUUAUGCAAAAAAAAAUCAAGUUGAAACUUGAAGGAUGCGUCAUUGUCACAAAAUUAUAAUCAACACGAACAAAACCAACAGAUCACACCCAAAAAGAAAAUAGACGGAGAGUUGGAUUUACAAAAUUCCAAUUCUACCCACACUAGAGAGAGAAAGGAUGAUUUCCCAGACACACUAAUAUAGCUGGG